rnacentral:rRNA from 1 species
GACGAACGCUGGCGGCGUGCUUAAUACAUGCAAGUCAACUUGACUUUAGAUAGCAAUAUCGAAAAGUAGGGUGGCGCACGGGUGCGUAACGCGUAGGUAAUCUGCCCUGAGGUCUGACAUAACCCGUCGAAAGGCGGGCUAACAUCAGAUGAUAUAUAAUCACGACAUCGUGGAAAUAUCAAAUCUUCGGAGCCUUGGGAUGAGCCUGCGUCUGAUUAGGUAGUUGGCGGAGUAAUAGCCCACCAAGCCUACGAUCAGUAGCUGGUCUGAGAGGAUGAUCAGCCACACUGGAACUGAGACACGGUCCAGACUCCUACGGGAGGCAGCAGUAAGGAAUAUUGCUCAAUGGGGGAAACCCUGAAGCAGCAACGCCGCGUGAAGGAUGAAAUACUUUGUAUGUAAACUUCUGUAAGAUGGGAAAAAUAUUACUCCUCGGGAGAAUUGAUUGUACCAU